GGGGCUGAUUCUGGAUUCGACGGGAUUUGCGAAACCCAAGGUGCAUGCCGAGGGGCGGUUGGCCUCGUAAAAAGCCGCAAAAAAUAGUCGCAAACGACGAAAACUACGCUUUAGCAGCUUAAUAACCUGCUUAGAGCCCUCUCUCCCUAGCCUCCGCUCUUAGGACGGGGAUCAAGAGAGGUCAAACCCAAAAGAGAUCGCGUGGAAGCCCUGCCUGGGGUUGAAGCGUUAAAACUUAAUCAGGCUAGUUUGUUAGUGGCGUGUCCGUCCGCAGCUGGCAAGCGAAUGUAAAGACUGACUAAGCAUGUAGUACCGAGGNGGAUGUAGGAAUUUCGGACGCGGGUUCAACUCCCGCCAGCUCCACCA
rnacentral:tmRNA from 1 species